UCAGCUUGGCUGCUGCCUCCCUCAUUCUCCUUCAAGACCUGGAGACAGACAUCUCACCGGCAGCUCACCGGCAGGAGUAGAAACAACUGGCAGGAGAAACACACUUGGCUGAGCACCAUGGCCUUAAUAUGGAUGAUCUCACUUUGGGAGACGAUAACUGCAUGUUGUCCAUGCAGAACAUACCGGUCUGCACAGAGAAGGAAUGCCCACUUGCCUCGCCAUACCAGGCUUGAGGAACAAGAACUGCCUUCAACCAAGCCAGUGGGUUAUGAUCACUCUGAUGGCAGUUUGUAUAAAGAACUGUCUCCCAGAGAUAAAGACAAAGAUCGUCAGAUAAAAGUCCUCGA